rnacentral:lncRNA from 1 species
AUUAAACCGGGAAUCCUGCCAGCCAACUUCUUCUCAGGGAAAGACGCUCCUACGUAUGAGUUUUACAAUCCCUCUGCUGCAGCACGUCAAUUCGGCAUGGGUCAGCUGCCGAUUCAAGUGUACUUCGCUGGCCGAGCUAAGUUCAGAGAUGAGCUUACAACAGGUCUGGACUAUAGUCGGCUGCGAGACCGGGUCCCAGACUCCAACACUAUUG